rnacentral:miRNA from 1 species
AAGUGGAGGCCUGGAUCGCACU